rnacentral:rRNA from 1 species
AGUGAACGCUGGCGGUAGGCCUAACACAUGCAAGUCGAACGGCAGCACAGUACUAGCUUGCUCUUACGGGUGGCGAGUGGCGGACGGUUCAUGAAUACAUCGGAAUCUACUUUUUCUUGGGUGAUAACGUAGGGACACUUACGCUAAUACCGCAUACGACCUACGGGUGAAAGCAUGGGAUCUUCGGACCUUGCGCGAUUGAAUGAGCCGAUGUCGGAUUAGCUAGUUGGCGGGGUAAAGGCCCACCAAGGCGACGAUCCGUAGCUGGUCUGAGAGGAUGAUCAGCCACACUGGAACUGAGACACGGUCCAGACUCCUACGGGAGGCAGCAGUGGGGAAUAUUGGACAAUGGGCGCAAGCCUGAUCCAGCCAUACCGCGUGGGUGAAGAAGGCCUUCGGGUUGUAAAGCACUUUUGUUGGGAAAGAAAAGCAGCAGGUUAAUACCCCGCUGUUCUGACGGUACCAAAAGAAUAAGCACCGGCUAACUUCGUG